rnacentral:rRNA from 1 species
UACGUAGGGGGCAAGCGUUGUUCGGAAUUACUGGGCGUAAAGGGCGCGUAGGCGGCACGGCAAGUCAGGAGUGAAAGGCCUGGGCUCAACCGAGGAACUGCUUUUGAGACUGCCGAGCUAGAGUGCAGAAGGGGCAACUGGAAUUCCCAGUGUAGCGGUGAAAUGCGUAGAUAUUGGGAAGAACACCUGAGGCGAAGGCGGCGUUCUGGACUGCAACUGACACUGAGGAACGAAAGCCAGGGGAGCAAACGGG